UACGUAGGGGGCAAGCGUUGUCCGGAUUAUUGGGCGUAAAGAGCGUGUAGGCGGCCAUACAGGUCAGCUGUGAAACUCGAGGCUCAACCUCGAGACGUCGGUUGAAACCGUAUGGCUAGAGUCCGGAAGAGGAGAGUGGAAUUCCCGGUGUAGCGGUGAAAUGCGCAGAUAUCGGGAAGAACACCCGUGGCGAAGGCGGCUCUCUGGGACGGUACUGGACGCUGAGACGCGAAAAGCGUGGGGAGCCGAACAGG
rnacentral:rRNA from 1 species